rnacentral:lncRNA from 1 species
GUUUAUUUAAAACCAACGGUAAGCUUGUUUGGCUAACAAAGGUGAAAAUUGAGAAUCGUUUUGUUGAACUCAAGUAAAAAGGCACCAGAACCAUUUCAAGCCAGUUUUGGAUGAAUCUGGUACAAAUCUUUUCUUCAAAUAAACUGACAAGGCAAUGACCAGCUGCUUAAACAAUUGUAUUUAUUGCCACAAAGUUGCAUAUAAAAAGGUUUGAGGGGUUCAUUGUAGUUAGAAAUCUCCUGCAGACUCUAAUUUUUUGUGAGGGCAGACGGUUGGCAGUUCUGAUGGAGUGGUCGUUGGAGCAGCAGUGGAUGGUGAAGCCUUAGCUGGCAUGGGUCGUGAGAAAAGGUCAAUGUCCGUUAACUGCCGCUGCUGCAAGACUUGAUUUUGCUUGAACGUGGUUGAAGCCACUUCAGUAGGUUGGCAGGGAGCCUUCGAUGGCAUGAAAGGGUUAGAGUAUUGCUGCUGAUGUUGGGGAAGCUUACAGGCAGUGGAUGAAGUUGCUUCUGUAGUGGAUGAAGUUGCUUCUGUAGUAGUGGGAGCUGCAGUAGUUUGGUAGGGAGCCUUCACUGGCAUGAAAGGGUUUCUGUAUCCUGGGUACAUGAAGUAAGAGUGCAUCAAUUCUUGCUGCUGCUGCUGCUUCAACUGUUGCUGCUGCUGCUGCAUCAACUGUUGCUGCUGCUGCUGCAUCAACUGUUGCUGCUGCUGCUGCAUCAACUGCUGCUGCUGCUGCUGCUGCAUCAACUGCUGCUGUUGCUGCUGCUGCUGCUCUUGUGGGGGAAGCUUAGAGGCAGUGGAUGAAGUUGCUUCUGUCGUAGUUGGAGCUUCAGUAGUGGGAGCUGCAGUAGUUUGAGGGGGAGCCUUUACUGGCAUGAAAGGGUUUCUGUAUCCUGGGUACAUGAAGUAAGAGUGCAUCAAUUCUUGCUGCUGCUGCUGCUGCUGCUGCUGCUGCUUCAACUGUUGCUGCUGCUUC